rnacentral:rRNA from 1 species
AGAGUUUGAUCCUGGCUCAGGAUGAACGCUGGCGGCGUGCUUAACACAUGCAAGUCGAGCGAAGCACCUGGACGGAUUUCUUCGGAUUGAAGUCUGGGCGACUGAGCGGCGGACGGGUGAGUAACGCGUGGGUAACCUGCCUCAUACAGGGGGAUAACAGUUAGAAAUGACUGCUAAUACCGCAUAAGCGCACGAAGGCGCAUGCCUUUGUGUGAAAAACUCCGGUGGUAUGAGAUGGACCCGCGUUAGAUUAGCCAGUUGGCAGGGUAACGGCCUACCAAAGCGACGAUCUAUAGCCGGCCUGAGAGGGCGACCGGCCACAUUGGGACUGAGACACGGCCCAAACUCCUACGGGAGGCAGCAGUGGGGAAUAUUGCACAAUGGGGGAAACCCUGAUGCAGCGACGCCGCGUGAGCGAAGAAGUAUUUCGGUAUGUAAAGCUCUAUCAGCAGGGAAGAAAAUGACGGUACCUGACUAAGAAGCCCCGGCUAACUACGUGCCAGCAGCCGCGGUAAUACGUAGGGGGCAAGCGUUAUCCGGAUUUACUGGGUGUAAAGGGAGCGUAGACGGCUCUGCAAGUCUGGAGUGAAAACCCGGGGCUCAACCCUGGGACUGCUUUGGAAACUGUGGAGCUUGAGUACCGGAGGGGUAAGCGGAAUUCCUAGUGUAGCGGUGAAAUGCGUAGACAUUAGGAAGAACACCAGUGGCGAAGGCGACUUUCUGGACGAAAACAAACGCUCUUGAGCGCAAACCACCGGAGCGAACGGGAUUAUAUACCCCGGUAGUCCUGGCCGUAAACGAUGGGUACUAGGUGUAGGAGGUAUCGACCCCCUUCUGUGCCGGAGUUAACGCAAUAAGUACCCCCCCUGGGGGAGUACGACCGCCAGGGUGGAAACUCAAAAGGAAUUGACGGGGGGCCCGCACAAGCGGGUGGAAGUAUGUGGGUUUAAUUCGACGCAACCGCGAAAAAACCUUACCAGGUCUUGACAUUGAUGGACAGAACUAGAGAUAGUUCCUCUUCUUCGGAAGCCAGAAAACAGGUGGUGCACGGUUGUCGUCAGCUCGUGUCGUGAGAUGUUGGGUUAAGUCCCGCAACGAGCGCAACCCCUAUCUUAUGUUGCCAGCACUUCGGGUGGGAACUCAUGAGAGACUGCCGCAGACAAUGCAGAGGAAGGCGGGGAUGACGUCAAAUCAUCAUGCCCCUUAUGACCUGGGCUACACACGUACUACAAUGGGAGUUAAUAGACGGAAGCGAAGCCGCGAGGUGGAGCAAACCCGAGAAACACUCUCUCAGUUCGGAUCGUAGGCUGCAACUCGCCUACGUGAAGUCGGAAUCGCUAGUAAUCGCAGGUCAGCAUACUGCGGUGAAUACGUUCCCGGGCCUUGUACACACCGCCCGUC